GCAGAAGCUGAAGAUUUCACUGGAAGCUGUCCAGUGUUUAUCACUCAGUCCAUGUCUUUUACUCUGGUAUCAGCAAACUAUGGUUCAAAUUCAUCACUAAGAAAAUAUGUACGAAGACAAAACUGCUGUAGCUGUAACUGAGCAAGUCGUUUAUGAGCUCAAAUGAAUACACGUACACUGAAGGGCUGGAAGAACAUAAAGAAAGAACCAUCAGGGGAAAUCUGGUCACCAGUCUCUCAUUCUCAUCUUCUCUACUGACAUAGGAAAUACAUAAUUUAUAAUGAAGCAUGGAAUGGUAGGGGUUGGAAGUGACUUUUAGAGAUCAUCUAGUCCAACCACCCUGCAGAAGCAGAUCAACCUGGAUCACGUCGCAUAGAAACAUGUUCAGGUGAUUCUUGAAGACCUCCAAGGAAGGAGACUCCACACCCUCCCUGGACAGCCUGGGCUAGGAC